UACAGAGGGUGCUAGCGUUGUUCGGAAUCAUUGGGCGUAAAGGGCGUGUAGGCGGGCCCGUAAGUGCAUCGGUGAAAUCCCACGGCUCAACCGUGGAACUGCUGGGCAUACUGCGGGCCUUGAGCGGUCUAGGGGCAGGUGGAACAAGUGGUGGAGCGGUGAAAUGCGUAGAUAUCACUUGGAACGCCAACGGUGAAAACAGCCUGCUGGGGACCUGCUGACGCUGAGACACGAAAGCCAGGGGAGCGAACGGG
rnacentral:rRNA from 1 species